rnacentral:rRNA from 1 species
AUCAUUGUCGUGACCCUGGCCAAAAGCGACAGACCGCGCACGCGUAAUCCAGCCUGCUGAGCGGCGGCACUCUAAACCGCCAAGGAAUGUAAAAAAGACUACCCAUGCUAGACCCAUUUACUUGGGAAUAUGUGUUGGUGUUAGUUUUCAGUAAAAAUAACGACUCUCGACAACGGAUAUCUCGGCUCUCGCAUCGAUGAAGAACGUAGCAAAAUGCGAUACUUGGUGUGAAUUGCAGAAUCCCGUGAACCAUCGAGUUUUUGAACGCAAGUUGCGCCUAAAGCCAUUAGGUUGAGGGCACGUCUGCCUGGGCGUCUCGCUUCGUGUCGCCCCAUUUCAUCUCAUUUUCGUUUCUUUGAGGGAGAUGAGUGUUUUGGGACGUAUAUUGGCCUCCUGUGCAUAUUUAUGGAGCAGUUGGCCGAAAUAGAAGUCCAUAUGAUAGGACACACGGUUAGUGGUGGUUGAGAAACUGUUUCGAUCCCGUGUUACUUCUUUUGGACUUAUUGACCCUUGGUGCUUCUUUUAUGGUGCAUCGACUGCGACCCCAGGUCAGGCGGGAUUACCCGCUGAG